rfam:Picea glauca, whole genome shotgun sequence.
UUAUGUACAUGCCUACAACGUUAAUGCACCAGAUCCCAUCAAAACUCCAUAGUUAGGUUUGUUUGGGAUAUAGUAGUACUGGGAUGGGUGACCUCCUGGGAAAUCCUAGUGUUUUACAUGCC